GAGUGAAGCGGAGAGCUACUGCAGGGUUCUGAGCAGAGUCCUAAUUUAUAUUUUAGAAGAAUCAUCAUGGCUCCUAGAUUAGGAAUAAAACGAAGGGGCCCAGGGAUGGAAACGAUGAGUCCAGUUGGGUUACUGCAAAGAUCCAGGCCAGAAAUCCAGGCACAGUGGCACACACCUGAGUCCCAGAUAAUUCCACCUACUGGUCCUGCUCUGUGGCCUACUGGUCCGAGUCCAGCCCCGACUGAUUUCUGGGCCUGUAAUGUCUAAAAACGCUCCCUGCUGAUGUUUUGCAAGUGACUGUGUUACUUGAAGGCAGUUCCUAGGAUAAACUAGUCGCUUUAUCAUUACAGAAUCAUUCACUGAGCAUCAACUAUGUAACCAGCAUUGGGUUGGGUGCCAGAGAUCCAAAGCUAAGACACCAAAACCUGCUCUCCAGGAAACGAGAGGCUGAGAAGAGGGCCAGCAGGUGUCUGUCAGUACUUGGAGCCGUGAGAGCAGGGAGUGGGUGCUGGGCUGAGGAACCAGAGGUAAUGGCCCUGGGGACGCCCGGGAAGAGAUGAGUUUUGAGGCAAAGGGGAUUACAGAGUUGAUCCUACUUACAGCUUCCAUCAAGCCCUUCAAAGAUGGGGUUUUGAGCAUCAGGGCAUCAAAGACUUCUUCUGACUCCUUUCGAACGUAGAGCAGCACUAAUCAAUCCCCAACCAGGAAUAAGGAAGGGAAAAGAGAGGAAAAAAAGGAUACAGUUCACAUGAGCAAAAGAGGAAAACAGACCACGGUACCAGCUAAAAUAAAAACCACAUUCACAUCAAGGAUGACAAGCAUCAGCCAAUAUCAAUUCUGUCUUAAGGAACACAGGUUUCAGCUUCUCUGAACUUUGCUCUAAGUCCUAGCUCAAGCUAGAUGUCAGUCUGAUGGAAGAAUUCCCAAGCAAGUGAAACUGGGAAAAAUGUGCUUGAACCAUUUAUGCUUUUGAUAGAUUCUGAACUCACUUCUGAUUUAAAACUCCCACUAAGAAAUGGAAACGAACACACCUCUCUUUGGUUCUUCUAUCCGGGCCAGCUUGGUAGAAGGAGGGACAGCAAAGUCAUCUUCUGUGCCGUACGGCCCCCUUUUCAAGACAGAGCUGCAGUGAUCCAAAAUAUGCCGUUAGUGAUUCAACUUAACCAGCUGCAUCAACAUUAAGGUGUUUUAGAGCCUGUCAUGGAACUAGAUUUAAAAUGACUUUCAUUCUUUAUCUGGUCCAGCUUCCUUAUUUGUGGAUGAAAAAUCAGGCUAAAGGAAGAUCCUGACUCCAGGGCUCAUGGAUAUUUACAGGCAGACAUGGGACCACACUCAGGUUCCCUGCAGGUAUCUGCACUCUCAUCAGAUAAAGCUGCCUUCUCGAAGAUGAGGCGCUUUGGUUUUUUUUUUUUUUUGUGAGACAGGGUCUCAUUCUGUUGCUCAGGCUGGAGUGCAGUGGUGCAAUCAUGGAUCACGGCUCACUGCAGCCUCAACCGCCCAGGCCCAAGCAAUCCUUCCACCUCAGCCUCCCAAGUGGCGCACACCACCACACCCAACUAAUUUUUUUAUUUUUGUAGAGAUGGGUUCUCCCUAUGUUGCCCAGGAUGUUCUCAAAUUCCUGGGCUCAAGCGAUCUUCCUACCUUGGCCUCCCAAAGUGCUGGAAUUAUAGGCAUGAUCCACCACGCCUGGCUGUCUGGUGCUUCUUUUCAGGAAACACUCUAUGGAGGAGGCAGGAUCUGAGAUAACCUUGUACAGGCAGUGACAAAGGAGAUGAUGUUUCAAAACACUGAGGAAGUGUGAGCAGGAAAAUGCAGGGCCAGCCUGGCUCAAACAGAAUGGCCCACAGGAAGCCAUAUCUAGAAAUUUCGGGAAGCCGACUCUACCGUGAAUGUCCUGAUCAUUCAGCUCUAAGGAAUUAAAUUUUACAUGGCAGAGAAGAGGGAAUAGUUGAAAGGUCUGUGAGACUGAGUGUGGUACCCAAAGUGUGUUGGUACCCAAAGUGUGUGGUCAAGACUGGAGGGGACCCCAGGACCUUCAAGCAGAAAAACCAGGGGAAGGAGGCUGGUAUAAUCCGAGCACAGGAUUCCACAGGUUUAAAAUAUGGUGGUAUCAUGGAAGCCAAAAGGUGAGAACAGACCAAGGAGAGUCUGAGGAGAGAAAAACUCAGAUCGAACGAACGCCUGGCUACCAGGGGCACCUGGCAUGGAGGGUCCAGCAGGUGGUGUCACGGCAAGCAAGAGAAGAGGUAGAUAACUGAAAGUGAAGGGAGGGAGUGCUGGAUUUGGAGCAGAAUGGCCACUUCAGGAGCAGGGGCUGAGCCUCCGAGACUCUGCCACCUCAGUUCCUAACACACAGCAGCCGUCUAGUGAAAGUGCCGGCAGGACUCAAGCCUGAAACACUAAGAAUCAAAGGGGCAGUGCAGGCCUCGCCUUCAAAGAGAGGCACGAUGGGUAACGUGUGGGGCAUGAAUGUCCCCAGUAUGACGGUUUAAGCCCUGGGAAUGGAUGGAAGAUGAGGGAAGAGGGAUGCUGAGGAAUGAACUUCCCAUGGAAAUCUUGGCUCUCUCCAUCAGGAUGCACCUUUCUGAGGGCAGAUAACAGAAAGAGGGAGGCUGAGGCGGGAGGAUUGCCUGAGACCAGGAUCUCUACAAUAAUAAUAAUAAUAAUAAUAAUAAUAAUAAUAAUAAUAAUUAGAUGGGUGUGGUGGCAUGUGCCUGUAGUCCCACCUACUCAGGAGUCUGAGGCAGGAGGAUCACUUAAGCCCAGAAGCUCAAGGCUGCAGUGAGCUGUGACUGCACCCCUGCACUCCUACAUGGGCCUCAGAGCAAGACCCUGUCUCUAAAAGUAAAAUGAAAUAAAAACAAAAAGAAUCUUUGCCUUGUUGAAAAAGUCCCAGAGCCAUCAAGAAGGUUCUGAUAGCCCAAAGAGGGGUAGCGUCAGCCCCCCUCCACUAGGCAGCAUGAGUAGGGGGCUGCCCGGCACAGGAAGGCAGAGCCCAAUUCUGGGACAACCUGAGCAUCAAAGUAAAUGACUAAUGAAUCACAGCUUAUUGAAUAAAACAGGAAACUAUGAGUUCAUACUGAUAGCAAUAAAUGAACGAGUAAACUGAAAGUUUGAUGGGGAAUGAGAUAUUUACAAAGCUACAAUGCACCUCCCCAGACAACACUUACUAUAAAAGGAGCCACUUUGCAGUGGAGAAGCUGGCAGAUACCAGCUUAAUCAAGUGACCAAAGAACACCAUUAGUAACAGAUAAACUGACAUCAAGCGCCAUCUGCUAGGACACACGGAGAACCCAGCCUGGCCUCUAUGACAUCCCUGCCAGGCCUGGAAUCUAACCAUGAGAGAGCAGCAGACACACGCAAACUAAGAAGAGUCUACAAAACAGCUGGUUGUAAUCUUCAAAAAUAUUUGGUCAGAAAAGUUAAGGAGUGGCUUAGUUCUAGACUGAAGAAGAUCAACAAACAUGACAAACAACUACAAUGUGUGAUCCUGAACUGGAUCCUUUUUUGCUAUAAAGGACAUUAUUGGUGCUAAUGAAGCAAUGUUAAUAUUCUAAUCUUGACUGUGACACAGGAGGAUGUCCUUGUUGGUAGGAAAUAUAUACCACGAUAUUCAGGAGUGAUGGGCCAUCAGGCUGGCAACUUAUCCUUGAUGGCUCAGGGAAAAAUGAGUUCUUUGUACUGUACUUGCAGUUUUUCUACAAGUUUGAAAUCAUUUCCAUUAUUAAAACAAAACAAAACAAAACAUAAAUCUUACCCUUCACCCUCCAAUUCUUCAGAGGCAAUGGGAAGGACCUAAGACCAAAGGAAUAGAUUGCUUUUCAAAUGUAUGCUCAAAAUGUUUGGCCAUAAAUGAAUUAUUCCUAAAAUGGAAAUAAUUUUGAAUUUCACCAAUCUAAUAUAAAAUCCUUUAGCCUUAGUUUUCAAUAACAGAUUCUUACAGAUGUCUUGAACUCCUUUAACUCAGUGGUUGGGCCAAAUCUGGUCUAAAGCCAGUUCAUGUAAAUAAAGUCUUUACUGAAACAAA